UGGGGAUUAUUGGACAAUGGGCGAAAGCCUGAUCCAGCCAUGCCGCGUGUGUGAAGAAGGUCUUCGGAUUGUAAAGCACUUUAAGUUGGGAGGAAGGGCAGUAAGCGAAUACCUUGCUGUUUUGACGUUACCGACAGAAUAAGCACCGGCUAACUCUGUGCCAGCAGCCGCGGUAAUACAGAGGGUGCAAGCGUUAAUCGGAAUUACUGGGCGUAAAGCGCGCGUAGGUGGUUCGUUAAGUUGAAUGUGAAAGCCCCGGGCUCAACCUGUGAACUGCAUCCAAAACUGGCGAGCUAGAGUAGGGCAGAGGGUGGUGGAAUUUCCUGUGUAGCGGUGAAAUGCGUAGAUAUAGGAAGGAACACCAGUAGCGAAGGCGACCACCUGGGCUCAUACUGGCACUGAGGUGCGAAAGCGUGGGGAGCAAACAGA
rnacentral:rRNA from 1 species